rnacentral:rRNA from 1 species
AUGGAUAGAUUUUGGGGAGAAUUAAACCGUGAUAUACAGGAGAUACUAAUUCAUGAAGGGUGUUAUCCUAUGGACCGUUUGUUUCGUCUUGCUUGCAAAGCUGAACAGGAAAUAAAAUGGCGUGUUGUCCACAAGGAGAAUAAGCGCAAGGUGCACAUUCCAAGAGAUGAUACGGUUGUUCCUUCAACUACUAGGCGUAAUAUGACAACCACAUCCGUUGUUGCGAGGACUACAUCACCUCUACCAUGUGACACAUCACCUCCGAUAGUGCCUGCAUCAUCUGAGUUGAUCAUAAGAGGUAAUGACAAAGGUACCGAUCUUCCACCUCCACAUGAGUAUGAUGAAUGCCUUGUCAAUUUAAAUGAACCAUGCAAUGAGCUACCCACUACUUUGAUCACACCGGCUAUUUUAGAAUACUAUGUUCAUGAUUUGACUUUGUCAUGUGAUCAAACAAUUUUGAGUGAACCCAUUGAAUUAACCAUUGAUGCGAAAGAACCAUGUGAAUCAGGGAAUAAAUCAGAUUUGGAUCAAAUACAUUUGAAAAUAGUUGUGCCAAUGUUUAAUCAUUUUGAUAGGACCUCUAAUCUUGGUGAUGGUUCAUCAAGGUUGUGA